rnacentral:rRNA from 1 species
UACGUAGGUGGCAAGCGUUGUCCGGAAUUAUUGGGCGUAAAGCGCGCGCAGGUGGUUUCUUAAGUCUGAUGUGAAAGCCCACGGCUCAACCGUGGAGGGUCAUUGGAAACUGGGGAACUUGAGUGCAGGAGAGAAGAGUGGAAUUCCACGUGUAGCGGUCGAAAUGCGUAGAGAUGUGGAGGAACACCAGUGGCGAAGGCGGGUCGUCUGGACAGUUCCUGACGCUGAGGCACGAAGGCCAGGGGAGCAAACGGG